CCCGGCCCUCACCCACGCGGAAGCCGGAGCCAGUGAGUGUGUCGGUGCUGUGGCCAUUCUCUCCGAUCAGCGUCAUGUUGGUGCCGUGGUGACAGCUGUCCCGACACUGGCCUUUGAGACAGGUCCGCUUGCAGUACACCGGCGCAAAGACCACCUUGAAGCGCUCGCGGGCUAGCGCCCCGCCCCCGCCGGCGCCCCGCUCGCCGGCCGGCCCCCCCUCGGCCCCGCCGCCCGGGCCCAGCAGAGGCAGCAGGAGCAGAAGCAGCAGCCCCACCGCCUCCGCCCGGCGCAUCGCAGGGGCCAGGCCGCCGGCGACCCCUCGGGGCCCGGGCAUCCGGGGCCGCGCGACCCCGGGAGGCGCGCCGGGCGGGGGCUAAGGGCCCGGCGCCCGCGGAGGUCGAGGGCCGGGAGCGCGGGCCAGGCGCGGAGAGGGCAGCGAGGCAGCGGAGCGAGAGGGGAGCGGGCAGGGAGGGGACGGCAGGCGCGCGCCGGGGCCCAGUGCGAGGCCGGAGAUGGAGGUGGACCGCGGGGAGCCCAGAAACUUCCCGGCCCGGAGAAGCUCAACCAGGCCCCGAACUGAGGCCAGGCCGAGGAGGCUGGAGCCAGUGGAGGCGGAGAGGAGGAGCGAGCGAGGGGAAGGCCGGGCGGCCAGCCCGCGGCGCGCCCCCCUGCCCGGCUGCUCUCCGGUGGCCGCCGGGAAGCAGGAGCGCGCGGGGAGGACGCAGGGAGAAGCUGGGUCUUGCUAUGUAUCUCAGGAAGCUGGCUUCAAACUCACAGUGAUCCUCCUGCCUCAGCCUCCUGAGUACUGGGAUUACAGGCCUGCACCACCACACCUGGCUCAGGCCUGCUUCAGAAAGCCAGGCAACUUUCUCUGGACACAUAGGCCUGCGUUGCACAUGUGCCACUGCUGAGGGGACUCAAAGAGAGAAAGCACUGCAGUUAUUCUCAC
ensembl:lncRNA